rnacentral:misc_RNA from 1 species
GAUGAAGAACGUAGUGAAAUGCGAUAAGUAAUGUGAAUUGCAGAAUUCAGUGAAUCAUCGAAUCUUUGAACGCACAUUGCGCCCACCAGUAUUCUGGCGGGCAUGCCUGUUCGAGCGUCAUUUCAACCAUCAAGCCCCCGGCUUGUGUUGGGGACCUGCGGCUGCCGCAGGCCCUGAAAACCAGUGGCGGGCUCGCUAGUCACUCCGAGCGUAGUAAUACAUCUCGCUCAGGGCGUGCUGCGGGUUCCGGCCGUUAAAAAGCCUUAUUUACCCAAGGUUGACCUCGGAUCAGGUAGGAAGACCCGCUGAACUUAAGCAUAUCAAUAAGCGGAGGA